UAACCCAGCUGCUGCGCAGUGUCGGCCGAUCAGCGAGGGAAACCACUGCUGCUUUGCCGGAGAUUGUUUGGCUGCAACCGCGGCUAACGGCUUUGCCUCAUACCGGAGAUCGUUGGCUGUAACAGCGACUAACUGCUCUGCCUCAUACCGGAGAUUGUCGUUGGUGACAGAGAUUGCCCGCUUCCGCUUUACGCUGGAUACGGCGUGCCGUCAGAGGGAUUAACUGCUUGCCUCGCCUUGGGCUCGAUUGCUUCGCCCCGGGCGCGCGCCGUUCCACUGCAGCCGGCUUGGCCUCUGGCUGGCCGUUCGGCGCUCCCGUGGUGCUGAACCUACGGUGGUGGAUGGUCCUGGUGGCGGUGUCCCUUUUGUGUUGUUUGCACGCCGGGUGGAUUUUGUUGUCCCAGUUUUGGUUUGCUUCACGUGUGGUGUUCCAGGGGUUCUCUUUUUAUUUAUUGUUUGGAUCAAGCCCAAGAGGUUCAACCCUGAUUGGUUUCUGUAUUUGAGUGACAGGUUUGUGUUUUCUUUUUUUGAAUUCAUGUAUUUUCAGUCUCUGGUUUCUCUUUUUAUUGUAAAUAAACUUAUUAUUUUUACGA